UACGUAGGGUGCAAGCGUUAAUCGGAAUUACUGGGCGUAAAGCGUGCGCAGGCGGUUAUGCAAGACAGAGGUGAAAUCCCCGGGCUCAACCUGGGAACUGCCUUUGUGACUGCAUAGCUAGAGUACGGUAGAGGGGGAUGGAAUUCCGCGUGUAGCAGUGAAAUGCGUAGAUAUGCGGAGGAACACCGAUGGCGAAGGCGGCCCCCUGGUCGGAUACUGACGCUGAGACGCGAAAGCGUGGGGAGCAAACAGG
rnacentral:rRNA from 1 species